AAUAGCUCUUAAGAUAAAGAACUAGUAGCAUCUCAUCUUUUUUUUAUUUUGGAAAUGCGCUAAAAAAGAACCGUUUUCUGCUAGAGCGAAAAAAGGUACCAGACAGCCGAUUCGUCUUGGGGGUUGGUUAACAAUCCAAAAAACUACAAGUUUCCGGGAAAACGUUCGUCGAUCGGAGCAGGUGGUCAAGGCGUGGUUGUGGAGAUCGAUGAUGCGAAGGGCAACGUUUUCGUUGUUUCAGUGUCUCCGAUCGAAUUGCAGACACCCUGCUACAAGUACCUUACACAGGCACCUCGUUGUAGUCCUUGUUGGACGGCUGUAAGUCGACAAGGGAAACCCAUUGCUUUAAUGAAAUGUAUUACUAUUUAAUAAACUACUGGUUCAAAUAUUUUGUAAUUUACUAUUUGUUAAAUAGGGGUUCUGAAACCGAAGAGGCCUCUCCGGUUUGAUAAAAUAAUGAGAAAUACAACUGGCAAUUAACUAAUUCGUAUAUCAUUAGAUUCUCAGAUAGAUUUUUCGAUUGGUGUUAUUAUAAACCCUCUAAGUCAACAUGUUAAUUGCAUAUGUAGGGUUUUGGAAUAUGCAAUCCGGGAACACAUAUAUCAAAAUUCGAGUGGUUAAGGGUUAAUUUACAGUUUCUGGCGCCCUGUCUGCAUCUAAAUCUUUUUGCCGACCCAACCCACGAUGAAGUCGCAGCGAAUGCUUGCACAAAAUGGAGCUUUUGUAUUUGCCGCCGAUUUUCCGGAGACUAACCACUGGACCAAAAUCGUUAUCUUAUGGCGCCCGAGCAUCUCGACCAUUUAGAAGACAACAAUAAUUCUAAUAUUAUAACUGUAUCUUAUGUUGUUUUAUAUCUAGCUAAUACAUGCAAUAAAUAAACAUAAACACAUAUAUAGGCGCGCCUCAGAUUGUGUGUGCCACUGUAAGUAAAAACAAAACUACCAAAUCUAAAUAAAUACCAUGACGAAAAACAAAGUAAAAGUUUUUAUUAUUUAACAUUAUAAAUUACUGUAAAACAAUUUGUACUGCAAAUCUAACAAUUUAAAAAUGAUUUUAUAAAAGCUUUAACAUUACGCGUAACAGACAAUAUAAAAAUUUAAUAUCAACACAUUUAGACUAGCUCACAUCAAGACUCGAAAGAAUACAGCCAAACCCAA